rnacentral:rRNA from 1 species
AACGAACGCUGGCGGCAGGCUUAACACAUGCAAGUCGAGCGCCCCGCAAGGGGAGCGGCAGACGGGUGAGUAACGCGUGGGAAUCUACCCAUCUCUACGGAAUAACGCAUGGAAACGUGUGCUAAUACCUUACACGUCCUUCGGGAGCAAGAUUUAUCGGAGAUGGAUGAGCCCGCGUUGGAUUAGCUAGUUGGUGGGGUAAAGGCCUACCAAGGCGACGAUCCAUAGCUGGUCUGAGAGGAUGAUCAGCCACACUGGGACUGAGACACGGCCCAGACUCCUACGGGAGGCAGCAGUGGGGAAUAUUGGACAAUGGGCGCAAGCCUGAUCCAGCCAUGCCGCGUGAGUGAUGAAGGCCCUAGGGUUGUAAAGCUCUUUCACCGGUGAAGAUAAUGACGGUAACCGGAGAAGAAGCCCCGGCUAACUUCGUGCCAGCCGCCGCCGUAAGAC